rnacentral:rRNA from 1 species
UACGGGGGGUGCGAGCGUUGUCCGGAAUCACUGGGCGUAAAGGGCGCGUAGGUGGUCUGAUAAGGGUGUGGUGAAAGCCCGGGGCUCAACCCCGGGUCGGCCGUGCCGACUGUCAGACUAGAGUGCUGUAGGGGCAGGCGGAAUUCCGGGUGUAGCGGUGGAAUGCGUAGAGAUCCGGAGGAAGACCGGUGGCGAAGGCGGCAUCCUGGACCAAUUCUGACGCUGAGGAGCGAAAGCCAGGGGAGCAAACGGG